UACGGAGGAUCCAAGCGUUAUCCGGAUUUAUUGGGUUUAAAGGGUGCGUAGGCGGCCAGUUAAGUCAGGGGUGAAAGACGGUAGCUCAACUAUCGCAGUGCCUUUGAUACUGAUUGGCUUGAAUGUACUUGAGGUAGGCGGAAUGUGACAAGUAGCGGUGAAAUGCAUAGAUAUGUCACAGAACACCAAUUGCGAAGGCAGCUUACUAAAGUAUGAUUGACGCUGAGGCACGAAAGCGUGGGGAUCAAACAGG
rnacentral:rRNA from 2 species